CCAUGGAGGGCUGCCUGUACUACAGAACGCUGGCCCCCAGCAGGACGCUUUGGAUUUGUUUUUCACUGAGAUGCUUUCCCUACCAGGUCUGUGCCGGUUAAAAUCAGCUUUCCUGUGUAAACCACAGGUUUCCCUAAGUCGAUUUUUCUUUAUUUUUUAAGUUUCUUUAUCUGCUGACCAUGCAUCUCUUUGUCCUGCACUUCCUGCUAUGUUCUGUUGGUGGCCUGAGCUGGCGACUCUAAGACUUUUGGCUUCAGACCUGUGCAGUCAUUCACCUUCAAACCUCUGUUACACCACUGCUGAUUCUGCACUCAACUACGCUGAGAAAUAAGCAAUUUUGACAUUCAGCAGCCCAAGGCUUCUUCUCUCCUUGAAAGAAUUAUAUAGGGAUUAACAGGAUGAUACCCAUAGACAGAUGGUGUGUGGCUGGAGGAGCUGGGUUAUUGAUGGUGUGCCUAUAUAUUUCAUCCCAGGAGUUCAUGCUGAAAGUUUGCCUUGAGUCUCAGAGGAGACUUUGGACUUGGACUUUUGGGUAAUCCCAGAACUGUUAAGACUGUGUCCUUAACUUCAUCAAUGCAUUAAUCCCCUUAUAGGGAUUAACUGGUUGGUAACUAUAGGCAGGUGGGGUAUGGAUGGAGGAGGUGGAUAAUUGAGGAUGUGUCUUUGGGGUAUAUAUUUUAUCCUGGGUGAAGGGAAUCUCUCAGCUGCUUUUCUCCUCCACACACUUCAGCUCGAUGUUCCGCCUCACCUCAGGCCCCGAGGAAUGGAGUAAGCCAUCUAUGGACUAAGAUCUCUGAAGCUAUGAACACCAGAUAAACUUUUCAUCCUGUAAAAUUGUUCUUCUUAAGUCUUUUGGUCACAGCAGCAAAACAAUUGAUUAAAACAAUUAUUAAG